rnacentral:lncRNA from 1 species
AAUUAAGAAAAGAACAAAGGUAUAAAUAUUUUUUCAAAAAGUGGUUUUUAAGGGGGGCACAAAAAAAAUUUUCGCGCAAAUUGUGCCCCCACCUACACUAAUGCUCUUCUACGCCCCUGAUCGGACAUGCCAUUCUACAAAUAAAUGGUCUCUUGAAACUACGUAUACAAACCCUUGAGACUGAACAAUUUAAAACUUUUUUAUCUGUUUUCGUUUUCUUCAAUUCUUAUUUUGUAUAGUUUUUGUAUGCAUUGUAUUUGUAUUGUAUUUGACAUCUAGAGUUACCCAGAACGGAUGAGACUGUAAGGACGACCUAAAACUCAAUUUUAUGGUCAUGGGUGCGAUUAAGUCUUCUUUUUUAAAGUAAUCUUUUAUAGCUUGUUCAAUGAUUAGACAAAGAAAGAAACAUAUUUAUUAUCGUUGCGUUGAAUCAUUUGUACAGUUUCUUUGAAGUCACAUGCUUUGUGGGUAACCUUGAACCCUGUAUUUGCAAAAAUGUCAAGUAUUAUUUAACGUACUUUUUGCCAACAAAAUUCGCCGGAUUUUACCAAAUUGUAAAUUUCAAUCAAAAGCUUCGGACUGUGGCCGAACUUUGACUUUAAUCGUAUAUCAGUUGUUCACAAGUGGAAAAAAAACUAUUAAAAAUUUUAAAACUUUUUAAUUUCAAAAAUUAUGUCCUGAUGAAAUCUUUAUUUGGAAAGAAAUGUUUUUUUGCCUUUAAUCAUAUAGGAUCUGUUGUUCACAAGUGGCAAAAACAAUCAAAAUUUGAAAUCAGUUUUUCUGAUACUUACAAAUUAUGAUAUGCUGAAAUUCAUCAAUAAAAUCAUAUUAUAGUGCAAUAUACAAUAUACAUAUUCAAAACUAAACUCUGAAACUUCACUAAAUUAGUAGCCGCGGUUGCUUUAGAACGUGACUUUCGGAAUACAGGGUUAUUUAAAAAAUGAAACGAAAGUGUUCAGUCCAUUUUUUUUGUAUUCAGUGUCCGAAUUUAAUGAAUUCAAGCCGCAUCUCAAAUACCCUAAAAAAUCGGUUUCACUUGAGCGAUCCGUCUUAAAUCUUGAAAAAUUGAAUACAAUUUUAAGUGGAACCAAGCUUAUUUGAGCCGCGGCUUAAAUUAAUUAAAUUCGGCCUCAGGGUUCCUUGUUGGCCAAAACUGGCUUAUUAAUGUGCUUAAUCAUUUAGUAAACUAUUAAAAUACUCAAUAUAAUUCAGAAACAAAAAUCAAAGUUUAAAUCGUCAUAUUUUUAGAGUUUUGGGUCUUAUCCUUUGUAGCUAGAAAAUAAAUCUGUAUAUGUGUUAAA